UUUAACUGAAGAGUUUGAUCAUGGCUCAGAUUGAACGCUGGCGGCAGGCUUAACACAUGCAAGUCGAGCGGAGAGAGG
rnacentral:rRNA from 1 species